GCCUCGGUAGCGUAGUGGUCAAGACGCUCGCCUGGUAAACAGGAGGGCGUGGGUUCGAUCCCAGCCGAGGUG
rnacentral:tRNA from 1 species